rnacentral:rRNA from 1 species
UACGUAGGGUGCAAGCGUUGUCCGGAAUUAUUGGGCGUAAAGAGCUCGUAGGCGGUUUGUCGCGUCUGCUGUGAAAACCCCGAGGCUCAACCUCGGGCCUGCAGUGGGUACGGGCAGACUAGAGUGCGGGUAGGGGAGAUUGGAAUUCCUGGUGUAGUGGUGGAAUGCGUAGAUAUCAGGAGGAAUACCAGUGGACGAAAGCGGCACCCCUAGCAUUUUUUCUGACGCUCAUGUGCGAAAGCGUGGGGAGCGAACGGG